UACGUAGGGCGCAAGCGUUGUCCGGAAUUAUUGGGCGUAAAGAGCUCGUAGGCGGCUUGUCACGUCGAUUGUGAAAGCCCGAGGCUUAACCUCGGGUCUGCAGUCGAUACGGGCUAGCUAGAGUGUGGUAGGGGAGAUCGGAAUUCCUGGUGUAGCGGUGAAAUGUGUAGAGAUCGGGAGGAACACCGGUGGCGAAGGCGGUCUUCUGGACGGUGACUGACGCUGAGGCGCGAAAGCGUGGGGAGCAAACGGG
rnacentral:rRNA from 1 species